AGCUUCCAGAUAGCCGAACAUAUGGGUGCUCCUGGAAGGUAGAGUGCCCAGGAAGGACAUGGAGACUCUCUACUCCUUCCCCCAUACCUUGCCCUACACAUCUCUUCAUUGGCACGGUGGCUCACGCCUGUAAUCGCAGCACUUUGGGAGACCAAAGCAGAUGAAUCACCUGAGGUCAAGAGUUCAAGACCAGCCUGGCCAACACGAAAGAAGCUCUCACAGUGGAAGACUAUAAUAUGACAUAAGAAGAAAUGUGGACUUGGAGAUACAGAAGAGUUUCACUCUGCCAUUCAGGCUGCAGUGCAGUGGUGCGAUCUCAAUUCAUUGCAGCCUCGACCGCCCAGAUUCAAGCAAUCCUCCCGCUUCAGCCUCCCAAGCAGCUGGGACUACAGGCACACACCAUGUCGAUAAUUUAAAUCAACCUUAUUCAUUUUAACUGCUACAUAGCAUUGCAGCAUAUAAAUAUACCACAGUGUGUAAUCCAUUCUCCUCUUUGUAGGCAUUUACACGAUUUACAAUUUUGUAUGAUUAGAAAAUAAACCACAAUGAAUAUUGUUGCACAUGAGUUCAAAAGUUUCUGUGAAGAACAAACCUAAAAGUAGAAGGUUAGAGCAUACAUAUUUUCAGCUUUAGAGAAUACUACCAAACUCCUAUAUAUAAUUUUUACCAAUAUGCUCUCUCAGCAGUAGCACUGAGAGUUCUUAUUUCUUCCAAACCUUGACUAUACUUAAUGUUACCAGACCUUAGAAUUUUGUCAUGAUGAUGGGCAUGAAGUGGUAAAACAAGGACAUUUUAUAAAAGUAUCCAUACAUAAUAAAAACAUAACAUUCAUAAAUGUAGGCAAUAUAAAAAUUUAUCAGGUAAAAAAUAUUAGAUUAUAACAGCUGUGAGUGGUAGCUCACGACUGUACUCCCAGCACAUUAGGAGGCCAAGGUGGGCGGAUCACUUGAGGUCAGGAGUUCAAGAACAGCCUGGCCAACAUGGGAAAUCCUGUCUUGACCAAAAAUACAAAAAUUAGCCAGAUGUGGUGGUGCACACCUGUAAUCACAGCUACUCGGGUGGCUGAGGCAGGAGAAUCACUUGAAACCGGGAGGCAGAAGUUGCAGUGAGCCGAGACCACACCACUGCACUCCAGCCUAGGAGACAGAGUCAGACUCCAUCUCAAAAAAAAAAAAAAAAAAAAUAGAUUAUAAGGAGGAGAUUGAGUUAUAAAAUGAUAGGAAGAGGCAUUAUCCUGCCACCAACAACAUAUGAUAGAUCAAUAAUCUUUUAAAGAACAACUUUUAACCAUACUGAAUGGAUAAAUAUUAUCUAGCAAAUAUAACACCUUUCAGAGCAUUCACUGAUCAACUCUCAAAUUUCAAAAACUGGAAAUAAUUUGAGGCAUAUUAACUUCACAAAAACGCAGUAAAGCCAAAAAUCAACAAUGAACUUUAAAUAAAAGGCCUCAACCUUUUAGAUUUAUUUAAAAUACAUUAAAGAACAAAAAUAUCAGAUUACACAAAAAUGACAAAACUAACAAAGCUAAGAAAAAAAAUGUAAUAAAAUCCAAAGCUAUAUUGUGAGGUAUAUUGCUGCAAUUAUUAAAAGUAAAUAUUGGCUGGGUGAGGUGGCUCACACCUAUAAUCCCAAGGCAGUAGGACUGCUUGAGCUCAGGAGUUAAAGACCAGGUUGGACAACACAGCAAGACCUCCUCUCUACUAAAAAUAAAAUUUAAUGUGCCUGAACUCACAAGUACUCAGGAGGCUGAGGCGGGAAGAUUGUUUGAGCCCAGGAGAUCAAAGCUACAGUGAGCCAUGAUCGUGCCACUGCAUCCCAGCCUGGAGCUACAGGCACAUGCCAC
rnacentral:lncRNA from 1 species